rnacentral:rRNA from 1 species
UACGUAGGGUGCAAGCGUUGUCCGGAAUUAUUGGGCGUAAAGAGCUCGUAGGCGGGUUGUCGCGUCGAAUGUGAAAACCCGGGGCUCAACUCCGGGCCUGCAUUCGAUACGGGCAGACUAGAGUUCGGUAGGGGAGACUGGAAUUCCUGGUGUAGCGGUGAAAUGCGCAGAUAUCAGGAGGAACACCGGUGGCGAAGGCGGGUCUCUGGGCCGAUACUGACGCUGAGGAGCGAAAGCGUGGGGAGCGAACAGG